UACAGAGGCCCCAAGCGUUACUGAGAAUCACUGGGUUUAAAGGGCGCGUAGGCGGCCACCGCAAGUCGACUGUGAAAUCUCCGGGCUUAACCCGGAAAGGUCAGCCGAUACUGCGGGGCUAGAGUGCAGAAGGGGCAACUGGAAUUCUCGGUGUAGCGGUGAAAUGCGUAGAUAUCGAGAGGAACACCUGCGGCGAAGGCGGGUUGCUGGGCUGACACUGACGCUGAUGCGCGAAAGCUAGGGGAGCGAACGGG
rnacentral:rRNA from 1 species